rnacentral:misc_RNA from 1 species
GGAAUUAAAAGUCGUAACAAGGUCUCCGUUGGUGAACCAGCGGAGGGAUCAUUACAGGACUCGCAAGACUCCUACAACCCUGUGAACUUAACUAUAAGCACGUUGCUUCGGCGGGUGUCUCGGAGGGGGUUCUCCCUCCCCGAGACGCUAAACCCGCCGGCAGCCUACUAUACUCUGUCUCUUUGCGUUGGCAUCUCGAGUACAAUCAAACAAGUUAAAACUUUCAACAACGGAUCUCUUGGUUCUG